AGGUGUGUAGGGGCCAGGUGUACUCGGGGCUGAAGCUGGGGACAGGUGUGUAGGGCCAGGUGUGCUCGGGGCUGAGGCUGGGGACAGGUGUGUAGGUGCCAGGUGUACUCGGGCUGAGGCUUGGUGCCAGGUGUGUAGGGCCAGGUGUGUAGGGCCAAGUGUGCUCGGGACUGGGGCUGGGGCCAGGUGUGUAGGGCCAGGUGUACUCGGGCUGAGGCUUGGUGCCAGAUGUGUAGGGCCAGGGGUGUAGGGCCAGGUGUGCUCGGGGCUGGGGCUGGGGCCAGGUGUGUAGGGGCCAGGUGUGCUCGGGGCUGGGGCUGGGGCCAGGUGUGUAGGGGCCAGGUGUGCUCGGGGCUGGGGCUGGGGCCAGGUGUGUAGGGGCCAGGUGUGCUCGGGGCUGGGGCUGGGGCCAGGUGUGUAGGGGCCAGGUGUGCUCGGGGCUGGGGCUGGGGC